GUUGGCUUACAAACUUGAUGUUUGGGCUUGGUAAGAUUAUUGUAGGACAAAGGAAGGUAGGCUUGAAAUAAAGAAAUGAAAAGGUUGGGUGUGGCGAAAUAGUAGAAGGUAAUAAUGACUAAAAUUUGGGCAGCAAACAACAACAAAAUUUCAAAACUAGCUUCUUCUUUUUUGUUUUCGAGUUUUUUUUCGAGAAACUACUAUACCGUA
rnacentral:lncRNA from 1 species